CCUACGGGUGGCAGCAGUGGGGAAUAUUGGGCAAUGGGCGCAAGCCUUACCCAGCAAUACCGCGUGAGUGAAGAAGGUCUUCGGAUUGUAAAGCUCUUUGUUCAGGGACAAACAGAUGACGAUACCUGAAGAACAAGCCCCGGCUCACUACGGGCCAGCAGCCGCGGUAAAACGUAGGGGGCGAGUGUUGUCCGGAAUGCGUGGGUGUAAAGGGUGCGUAGGCGGCAUAAUAAGUUAGAAGUGAAAUACCCAGGGCUCAACGCGGGUGCUGCUUCUAAGACUGUUGAGCUUGAGUGCGGGCGAGGUUAAUGGAAUUCCUGGUGUAGCGGUGGAAUGCGUAGAUAUUAGGAGGAACACCAGAGGCGAAGGCGAUUAACUGGACCGUAACUGACGCUGAGGCACGAAAGUGUGGGUAGCGAACAGGAUUAGAUACCCCAGUAGUC
rnacentral:rRNA from 1 species